AACGAACGCUGGCGGCAUGCCUAACACAUGCAAGUCGAACGAGACCUUCGGGUAUAGUGGCGCACGGGUGCGUAACGCGUGGGAACCUGCCCUUAGGUUCGGAAUAACUCCCCGCAAGGGGUGCUAAUACCGGAUAAUGUCUUCGGACCAAAGAUUUAUCGCCUUUGGAUGGGCCCGCGUUGGAUUAGCUAGUUGGUAGGGUAAAAGCCUACCAAGGCGACGAUCCAUAGCUGGUCUGAGAGGAUGAUCAGCCACACUGGGACUGAGACACGGCCCAGACUCCUACGGGAGGCAGCAGUGGGGAAUAUUGGACAAUGGGCGAGAGCCUGAUCCAGCAAUGCCGCGUGAGUGAUGAAGGCCUUAGGGUUGUAAAGCUCUUUUACCCGGGAUGAUAAUGACAGUACCGGGAGAAUAAGCUCCGGCUAACUCCGUG
rnacentral:rRNA from 1 species